UGAAAUCAGUACUUUAAUCCGCUUUGCGAUAUGCAAUUCUUUUUCAGUAUUAAGUUUUCAGGAAUAACUUUCUAACGAAACUGUAUUAAUUUAGUACCUUUUUAAAAAACACAGUUAAACAGUUAAAUUUUAAUUACUUUCUAUUUACAAUGUACCUGACAAGUGUAUUCGUAAUAUUUUUAAUAUUAUUUUUCGUUGAAUGUUUAGUACCAAAAACUUCCAAAAUAGAAUUAAAUGAAGAUUAUUAUACAACUUCGGAUUAUAUCAAUAAAAUAAAGGAGUUAAAACAUCAAGCAGACGUGUUAGCUAUUGUAGUCCUAAAU